UUUUUAAUGAGUUAUAAUCAUUACCCUAAAAUUUCAGAAGAAUUUGUUUUCUUUAAUUUUUUUUUUAAUGACAAUUGGAUGUUUGCCAAUAUCUUAUUGAGCUUUGCUCAUAUUUUUUUUUACUAAAUAAAUACUCAGAUUCUUUAAAUUGCUGAAAGGAUCUUCUAAUAAUUUUUUUUUUUAACAUUUUCUUUCUCACUAUAGUUUUUCUUUUUUCUUCUCCAAACAAAGGCCAGUGAUAGAGCCACAAUGUUUAAGAGAUUCGCAGAUAGAAUGAAAGUCGUGAGAGUCUCCUCUUUGAGGUCAGCCCCGGGAGCUAUAGGCUAGAUAUUAACGAAACUUACUGCUAUACAGGCAAAAAAAGAGUAAUUGAAAGAUUACUUGUUUGAAAUGACAAAGCAAUUGAUUUUUUGUUUUCCACUGGGCAAGGAG
rnacentral:lncRNA from 1 species